CACAGGACCCCAUUUGGUACAAUUUUUACACAUUUAUUCUAAUAAAGAAAAUACUCACGUGAGAAUUUCAAAUUAAUGUUGAUAUUUUACUAAGACAACCUUUAGUACUUCCAACUGUAUGAUAAAAAAAUAAAUAGUACGUGAUAGCUAUUUAUAGAUCCGCGUUUUUUGUGUUACGUAACUUCCGGUCCGGAGCCUGCAGAGAGGACCCCAUUUGGUACAAAGUGGGCACAUUUGGCAACACCAGGAUGAAUCUGAUGCCUUCCUCAUUUCAAAUGUGCGGUACACUCUGGGUGGCAAACAAUAUGCAUGAAAGGACUUUUUACAGAAGUAGCAUGUCACCCAAUUUUUUUCUUCUUCUAUCGGAGAAACAAAUUGAUGAUACUUGACAUAUAAGCAUGCCGUGCCCCUCUGGGGUUGUACCAUCCUGGUCAAGAGCCUUGUCAAGUGUUGGAAAUACAAUGUAGCUCAAUAUCUGACUGAACACGAGUACUGUAACUGGUGUCCUGACUAAGAGCUCAAUGAGAAUGGCUCAACAUCAACAUUCAUGCUCUUCAUGAUUGAGGCAUUCCUGGUGAAACCAGCAGCCACAUUAUGUACCAGCGUAUCUAACCCAAAGGAUAUCUUCCUCCUCAUCAUUACAUCGAUCCCUGAUGUUGCAAAUUUUGCAUGUAUAAAUAUUUCUUCUGCAAGUUCAUUGCGUUUGUUCUGUAGAUGAAAGAUUAAAUUAUGAGUUAAACCAUA